AACGAACGCUGGCGGCAGGCCUAACACAUGCAAGUCGAGCGAGGACUUCGGUCCUAGCGGCGGACGGGUGAGUAACGCGUGGGAACGUGCCCUUUGCUUCGGAAUAGCCCUGGGAAACUGGGAGUAAUACCGGAUGAGCCCUUUGGGGGAAAGAUUUAUCGGCGAAGGAUCGGCCCGCGUUGGAUUAGGUAGUUGGUGGGGUAAUGGCCUACCAAGCCGACGAUCCAUAGCUGGUUUGAGAGGAUGAUCAGCCACACUGGGGCUGAGACACGGCCCAGACUCCUACGGGAGGGAGGAGAGGGGAAUCUUGGAAAAUGGGGGAAACCAUGAAGGAGCCAGGCCGGGUGAGCGAUGAAGGCCUUAGGGUAGAAAAGCCCUUUCAGCUGGGAAGAUAAUGACGGUACCGGAAGAAGAAGCCCCGGCUAACUCCGUG
rnacentral:rRNA from 1 species